CCUACGGGAGGCAGCAGUGGGGAAUAUUGCACAAUGGGGGAAACCCUGAUGCAGCCAUGCCGCGUGUGUGAAGAAGGACCUUCGGGUUGUAAAGCACUUUCAGUAGGGAGGAAGGUAGUGUAGUUAACACCUGCAUUAUUUGACGUUACCUACAGAAGAAGCACCGGCUAACUCCGUGCCAGCAGCCGCGGUAAUACGGAGGGUGCGAGCGUUAAUCGGAAUUACUGGGCGUAAAGCGCAUGCAGGCGGCCUGUUAAGUCAGAUGUGAAAGCCCGGGGCUUAACCUCGGAAUUGCAUUUGAAACUGGCAGGCUAGAGUCUUGUAGAGGGGGGUAGGAAUUUCAGGUGUAGCGGUGAAAUGCGUAGAGAUCUGAAGGAAUACCAGUGGCGAAGGCGGCCCCCUGGACAAAGACUGACGCUCAGAUGCGAAAGCGUGGGGAGCAAACAGGAUUAGAUACCUUGGUAG
rnacentral:rRNA from 1 species